AGUGAACGCUGGCGGUAGGCCUAACACAUGCAAGUCGAACGGCAGCACAGUAAGAGCUUGCUCUUACGGGUGGCGAGUGGCGGACGGGUGCGGAAUACAUCGGAAUCUACUUUUUCGUGGGGGAUAACGUAGGGAAACUUACGCUAAUACCGCAUACGACCUACGGGUGAAAGCAGGGGAUCUUCGGACCUUGCGCGAUUGAAUGAGCCGAUGUCGGAUUAGCUAGUUGGCGGGGUAAAGGCCCACCAAGGCGACGAUCCGUAGCUGGUCUGAGAGGAUGAUCAGCCACACUGGAACUGAGACACGGUCCAGACUCCUACGGGAGGCACCAGUGGGGAAUAUUGGACAAUGGGCGCAAGCCUGAUCCAGCCAUACCGCGUGGGUGAAGAAGGCCUUCGGGUUGUAAAGCCCUUUUGUUGGGAAAGAAAAGCAGCAGGUUAAUACCCCGCUGUUCUGACGGUACCCAAAGAAUAAGCACCGGCUAACUUCGUG
rnacentral:rRNA from 1 species